AUACAUGCAAGUCGAGCGCGGGAAGCAAGCGGAUCCCCUUCGGGGGUGAAGCUUGUGGAACGAGCGGCGGACGGGUGAGUAACACGUGGGCAACCUGCCUGUAAGACCGGAAUAACCCCGGGAAACCGGGGCCAAUGCCGGGUAACACCUACCUUCGCAUGAAGGAAGGUUAAAAGAUGGCUUCUCGCUAUCACUUACAGAUGGGCCCGGGGCGCAUUAGCUAGUUGGUGAGGUAACAGCUCACCAAGGCGACGAUGCGUAGCCGACCUGAGAGGGUGAUCGGCCACACUGGGACUGAGACACGGCCCAGACUCCUACGGGAGGCAGCAGUAGGGAAUCUUCCGCAAUGGACGAAAGUCUGACGGAGCAACGCCGCGUGAACGAUGAAGGUCUUCGGAUCGUAAAGUUCUGUUGUUAGGGAAGAACAAGUACCGUGCGAAUAGAGCGGUACCUUGACGGUACCUAACGAGGAAGCCCCGGCUAACUACGUGCCAGCAGCCGCGGUAAUACGUAGGGGGCAAGCGUUGUCCGGAAUUAUUGGGCGUAAAGCGCGCGCAGGCGGUUUCUUAAGUCUGAUGUGAAAGCCCACGGCUCAACCGUGGAGGGUCAUUGGAAACUGGGGAACUUGAGGACAGAAGAAGAGAGUGGAAUUCCACGUGUAGCGGUGAAAUGCGUAGAUAUGUGGAGGAACACCAGUGGCGAA
rnacentral:rRNA from 1 species